GUGUCAGCAGCCGCGGUAAUACGUAGGGUGCAAGCGUUAAUCGGAAUUACUGGGCGUAAAGGGCGCGUAGGCGGUUUCGUUAGUCAGGCGUGAAAUUCCUGGGCUUAACUGGGAGGGUGCGCCGAAGACUGGAAGGCUUGAGUAUGGGAGAGGUAAGCGGAAUUCCUGGUGUAGCGGUGAAAUGCGUAGAUAUCAGGAGGAACACCUGCGGUGUAGACGGCUUACUGGACCAUCACUGACGCUGAGGCACGAAAGCGUGGGGAGCAAACAGGAUUAGAUACCCCUGUAGUCC
rnacentral:rRNA from 1 species